rnacentral:rRNA from 1 species
UUAAGUGACGAUAGCCUAGGUGAUACACCUGUACCCAUGCCGAACACAGCAGUUAAGCCCUAGAACGCCGGAAGUAGUUGGGGGUUGCCCCCUGUGAGAUAUGGUAGUCGCUUAGC